CCAAUAGCGUAUAUUAAAGUUGUUGCAGUUAAAAAGCUCGUAGUUGAAUUUCGGGGUCAGUAGGUUGGUCAUGCCACUGGUAUGUACUGGUCUCACUGAUUCCUCCUUCCUGAUGAGCUGUAAUGCCAUUAAUUUGGUGUUGCGGGGAAUCUGGACUGUUACUUUGAAAAAAUUAGAGUGUUUAAAGCAGGCUAACGCCUGAAUACAUUAGCAUGGAAUAAUGAAAUAGGACGUUCGAUCCUAUUUUGUUGGUUUCUAGGAUUGACGUAAUGAUUAAUAGGGAUAGUUGGGGGCAAUAGUAUGCAAUUGUCAGAGGUGAAAUUCUUGGAUUUAUUGAAGACUAACUACUGCGAAAGCAUUUGCCAAGGAUGUUUUCAUUAAUCAAGAACGAAAGUUAGGCGAUCGAAGACGAUCAGAUACCGUCGUAGUCUUAACCAUAAACUAUGCCGACUAGGGAUCGGAUGAUGUUAAUUUUUUAAUGACUCAUUCGGCGCCUUGCG
rnacentral:rRNA from 1 species